ACUCCUACGGGAGGCAGCAGUGGGGAAUAUUGCACAAUGGGCGCAAGCCUGAUGCAGCCAUGCCGCGUGUAUGAAGAAGGCCUUCGGGUUGUAAAGUACUUUCAGCAGUGAGGAAGGCGGAGUCGUUAAUAGCGGCCUCGUUUGACGUUAGCUGCAGAAGAAAGCACCGGCUAACUCCGUGCCAGCAGCCGCGGUAAUACGGAGGGUGCGAGCGUUAAUCGGAAUUACUGGGCGUAAAGCGCAUGCAGGUGGUUCGUUAAGUCAGAUGUGAAAGCCCGGGGCUCAACCUCGGAAUUGCAUUUGAAACUGGCAGACUAGAGUACUGUAGAGGGGGGUAGAAUUUCAGGUGUAGCGGUGAAAUGCGUAGAGAUCUGAAGGAAUACCGGUGGCGAAGGCGGCCCCCUGGACAGAUACUGACACUCAGAUGCGAAAGCUGGGGAGCAAACAGGAUUAGAUA
rnacentral:rRNA from 1 species